UUUUUGAGUUUGAUUCUGGCUCUGGAUUAACGUUUUUAGGAUAUAUUAGACAUGCUAAUCCAAAACCCUUUAAUUUUUUGAGGGUUUGGUGUAUUGGAGAGUAUAAUAGAAGAAUGCAACAUCACAAUAAGAAAGCGAAUUUCUUAAAAAGAUUAAUUUUGUUGUGUUACGCCCUUCUACGGGAUUAGAUAAUUGGUAAGCGAAAAUUUAUCAAGUCAAAGAUCCCUAGCGAGUUUUUACGAAUCUUUCGCCUCACUAGCUUUGAAAUAAUAGCUAGAUUUCUCAAAUCGCAGUCGAGAAUAUUGGACAAUUAAAGAAAUUUAGAUCCAGUGAUCCUAAAUGGUCGCUUUCUAAAAGAAAAUGGUACACUACCAUAAAGACCACUAGCCGAUGUAAAAAAUGAUUACUUCGGUGAUAGCUCUAACAAAUUAUGUGCCAGAAGUUUCGGUAAGACAUGAAGAGCGAACGUUAUUCAAAAACACUUGGUAUAAAUCGCAUGUAGGGGGUACUUUUAAUUUAAAGAAAAUAAUAAGUGACAAUCUUAAAAAAUUCUUUAUUAUAUUUGGGUACUAGAGUAUUUGAUAGGGAAGUGGAAUAUAUCAAGGAACGAUAAAAUGUUUUGAUAUGAUUUGGAAUAUCAACCGAUGAAAAUAGCUUUCUAUAAAAAAAAAGAUAUUAAAUGUCUUUUACUGACCCUGAAAUUGCUAAAGUUUGAGUAUCAAAGAGAAUUAGAGACUCUCGUAGUUCAAACCUUCAACGAUAAAGGCUCUUUUUGUUUGCAAAAAGUUACAAAUGUAAAGCCUUUAACCUGAGUAGUACGUCUGCAAAGAUGAAAUUUAAAGAAUUAGAUGAGAGGGAAAACUAUCCGUGGAUUAUGUUGGUUAAUUCGAUAAUACCCGCAAACCUUACCCCUCCUUGUAUAAUAGUAUUUGUGGAUCCUCUUUGGAUUCAACUUUGAAAUUUUUUCAAAUUUUUCGCUAUUACAGACGUUGCAUGGUUGUCGUCAGCUCUUGUUUCGAAAUGUUUGGUUAACUCCAAGAAAGGGCGAAACUUCUUUUUCUAUUUUUAAUGAAUUAAUUUUUAUUGUAUUAGAAAAAUCACUUAGAGAAGGUAAGAUGAGAGAAGAAUAGACGUCUAAAUCCUCAUGACUUUUAUGGAGGGGGCUCCAAAUGUAAUACAAUAGAAAUUUUAUAAAAGGACGCUUUUUUUUUAAGGCAAAACCUCAAAUAUUUUUUCAGUUCGGAUUAUCUCUUGCAACUCAGAGAUAUGAAGUAGGAAUGGAUCGUAACGGUUGAAAAGAAUGCUACCGUGAAACUUAAAAAUUCCCUUUUUACUUAUCGCCCAUCACUUCAUGAGAAUUGGUUUCGCUGUAAUCUUUUUUUUAAUUUUGUGGU
rnacentral:rRNA from 14 species